rnacentral:rRNA from 1 species
CUACGGGACGCUCCAGUGGGGAAUCUUGCACAAUGGAGGAAACUCUGAUGCAGCGAUGCCGCGUGAGUGAAGAAGGCCCUUGGGUUGUAAAGCUCUUUUGUCGGGAAAGAUAAUGACUGUACCCGAAGAAUAAGGUCCGGCUAACUUCGUGCCAGCAGCCGCGGUAAUACGAAGGGACCUAGCGUAAUUCGGAAUUACUGGGCGUAAAGCGCGCGUAGGCGGUUAAGUAAGUUAAUUGUGAAAGCCCAAAGCUCAACUUUGGAAUUGCAAUUAAAACUACUUAGCUAGAGUUUAUCAGAGGAAAGCGGAAUACAUAGUGUAGAGGUGAAAUUCGUAGAUAUUAUGUAGAACACCAGUUGCGAAGGCGGCUUUCUGGGAUAACACUGACGCUGAGGUGCGAAAGUAUGGGUAGCGAAGAGGAUUAGAUACCCUAGUAGUC